rnacentral:lncRNA from 1 species
ACCUGCGUGAAAAAAUAGUUGCCUCCCACAGGAUUAAUGAAAUCGCAUAUCAGGUCUCCGACCAUCUUUUCCCCAGAUAAUUCCACUUAUUGCUUCUGUUAUUACCCAGCAGUUGUAAUUUACCAUUGAUUUUGGAUUGGUGUUGCUUGAUUAUGGUUAAUAUUCAUUGUCAGUGUUCUCCCUUUCAUCUGUCUUUAACUUUUCUUUCCGUGUAGGUUCAAGAUUGCUGCAGAAAUUAUUCUUCUCCUUCACUUUCUAGUCUUUAUCGGCAAAAAAAAUCUUCUUACGAGGUACAAAUUUGUGCUUUUGUAUGUGUAACUAUUGCGCUUUGUGAUUUGUGAAAGUAUAAAUUUUUCUCCAUAUGCUAAGGUGUUUGUGAUAUCCGGGUGCUAUUAAAUUAAUGUGAG